AGCUAGUUGGUAGGGUAAUGGCCUACCAAGGCAACGAUGAGUAGCUGGUCUGAGAGGAUGAUCAGCCACACUGGAACUGAAACACGGUCCAGACUCCUACGGGAGGCAGCAGUGGGGAAUAUUGCGCAAUGGGCGAAAGCCUGACGCAGCAACGCCGUGUGAGGGAUGAAGGCUUUCGGGUCGUAAACCUCUGUCGGAAGGGAAGAACGGGCAUUGGUCUAAUAGGCCUUUGUUUUGACGGUACCUUUAGAGGAAGCACCGGCUAACUCCGUGCCAGCAGCCGCGGUAAUACGGAGGGUGCAAGCGUUAUUCGGAAUUACUGGGCGUAAAGCGCACGUAGGCGGCCUUGUAAGUCAGGGGUGAAAUCCCACGGCUCAACCGUGGAACUGCCUUUGAAACUGCAGGGCUUGAAUCCUGGAGAGGGUGGCGGAAUUCCUGGUGUAGGAGUGAAAUCCGUAGAUAUCAGGAGGAACACCGGUGGCGAAGGCGGCCACCUGGACAGGUAUUGACGCUGAGGUGCGAAAGUGUGGGGAGCAAACAGGAUUAGAUACCCUGGUAGUCCACACCGUAAACGAUGGAUACUAGGUGUCGGGGACUUGAUCUUCGGUGCCGUAGCUAACGCGUUAGUAUCCCGCCUGGGGAGUACGGUCGCAAGGCUGAAACUCAAAGAAAUUGACGGGGCCCGCACAAGCGGUGAGUAUGUGGUUUAAUUUCGAUGCAACGCGGAGACCUUACCUAGGCUUGACAUCCUGGGAAUCCUGCAGAGAUGCGGGAGUGCCCUUCGGGAUCAGAGACAGGUGCUGCAUGG
rnacentral:rRNA from 1 species